rnacentral:lncRNA from 1 species
GUUUUUUAUUUUUUUACGAGAGGUACGAUUUUGCUUCCGCCGGUGGCACAGUUUUGCUUUCACGAAUUGCAUGGACGUGUCUCUCGGAAACAAAAAAACAUGUUUUCUAUUAUUAUUUUUAUGAUAGGCACGAUUUUGCCUCCACGAGAGGCACAGAUUGCUUCCACGAGAGGCAUAGAUUUACUUUCGCGAGAGGCAUGAUCGUGCCUCUUGAAAACAGAAAAAAUAAAUAUAUUUUUUUCUUUCGC